UUCAUCAUCUAGUAAAAGAUAUAGAGUAUUUAAUAAAAAAAUAUUUGUUGUAGAAGAAUCCAUUGAUAUUGUUUUUGAUGAAACUAAUAUUUUUAAAUCAAGAGAAGUAGAUGUAGAUGAUGAUGUAGUUUCUCUUGAAAAGGAGAUGAAAGACACGACUUUGAAAAAUUCUCCUUCACAAGAAGAAGAAGAAGAUAAAGAAAAAAGAUAAAGACGAUGGUACUAAAG
rnacentral:lncRNA from 1 species